GCACGUACGGNNCNGAGACACGGCCAUCACUCCUACGGGAGGCAGCAGUGGGGAAUAUUGCACAAUGGGCGCAAGCCUGAUGCAGCCAUGCCGCGUGUGUGAAGAAGGCCUUCGGGUUGUAAAGCACUUUCAGUCNUGAGGAAGGUGGNAGAGUUAAUAGCUCUAUUAUGUGACGUUAGCGACAGANNAAGCA
rnacentral:rRNA from 1 species